rnacentral:rRNA from 1 species
AGAGUUUGAUCCUGGCUCAGGACGAACGCUGGCGGCGUGCCUAAUACAUGCAAGUCGAGCGGACAGAAGGGAGCUUGCUCCCGGAUGUUAGCGGCGGACGGGUGAGUAACACGUGGGUAACCUGCCUGUAAGACUGGGAUAACUCCGGGAAACCGGAGCUAAUACCGGAUAGUUCCUUGAACCGCAUGGUUCAAGGAUGAAAGACGGUUUCGGCUGUCACUUACAGAUGGACCCGCGGCGCAUUAGCUAGUUGGUGGGGUAAUGGCUCACCAAGGCGACGAUGCGUAGCCGACCUGAGAGGGUGAUCGGCCACACUGGGACUGAGACACGGCCCAGACUCCUACGGGAGGCAGCAGUAGGGAAUCUUCCGCAAUGGACGAAAGUCUGACGGAGCAACGCCGCGUGAGUGAUGAAGGUUUUCGGAUCGUAAAGCUCUGUUGUUAGGGAAGAACAAGUGCGAGAGUAACUGCUCGCACCUUGACGGUACCUAACCAGAAAGCCACGGCUAACUACGUGCCAGCAGCCGCGGUAAUACGUAGGUGGCAAGCGUUGUCCGGAAUUAUUGGGCGUAAAGGGCUCGCAGGCGGUUUCUUAAGUCUGAUGUGAAAGCCCCCGGCUCAACCGGGGAGGGUCAUUGGAAACUGGGAAACUUGAGUGCAGAAGAGGAGAGUGGAAUUCCACGUGUAGCGGUGAAAUGCGUAGAGAUGUGGAGGAACACCAGUGGCGAAGGCGACUCUCUGGUCUGUAACUGACGCUGAGGAGCGAAAGCGUGGGGAGCGAACAGGAUUAGAUACCCUGGUAGUCCACGCCGUAAACGAUGAGUGCUAAGUGUUAGGGGGUUUCCGCCCCUUAGUGCUGCAGCUAACGCAUUAAGCACUCCGCCUGGGGAGUACGGUCGCAAGACUGAAACUCAAAGGAAUUGACGGGGGCCCGCACAAGCGGUGGAGCAUGUGGUUUAAUUCGAAGCAACGCGAAGAACCUUACCAGGUCUUGACAUCCUCUGACAACCCUAGAGAUAGGGCUUUCCCUUCGGGGACAGAGUGACAGGUGGUGCAUGGUUGUCGUCAGCUCGUGUCGUGAGAUGUUGGGUUAAGUCCCGCAACGAGCGCAACCCUUGAUCUUAGUUGCCAGCAUUAAGUUGGGCACUCUAAGGUGACUGCCGGUGACAAACCGGAGGAAGGUGGGGAUGACGUCAAAUCAUCAUGCCCCUUAUGACCUGGGCUACACACGUGCUACAAUGGACAGAACAAAGGGCUGCAAGACCGCAAGGUUUAGCCAAUCCCAUAAAUCUGUUCUCAGUUCGGAUCGCAGUCUGCAACUCGACUGCGUGAAGCUGGAAUCGCUAGUAAUCGCGGAUCAGCAUGCCGCGGUGAAUACGUUCCCGGGCCUUGUACACACCGCCCGUCACACCACGAGAGUUUGCAACACCCGAAGUCGGUGAGGUAACCUUUAUGGAGCCAGCCGCCGAAGGUGGGGCAGAUGAUUGGGGUGAAGUCGUAACAAGGUAACC